AUGUUUUUGCUUAUUUCAAUGUGACUUGUGUUGAUUUUCAUUUAAUUAAAUAUUCUGAUUUAAAUUAAUUAUAUUGACCAACUGUUGGUGGAAAUUAUUGUUCUCAGGUUGAACAAUUUAUCGAGUAAUUUGGAGAUUAUUCCGAUCGUUUUCCCGUUUACAUAUUGUUUUAUUGAUAACAUUUAUUCUCUCUGUAAAUCCUUUUCUAUUUUUGUAUUGUGAUUAAUGAAUAACCUGGUGAUAUAAGGAGGUAUACAAAAAAGGCUUUCAUCUUGAUUGUUACCCUUUCAAUACAAAAGGAUAUAAUCUUGAGCCUUCAAUAUUAUUCCCCUUGGUAAACCCAACCAAAAAUCCAAAUUAAACUACAUCUCAGCUCAUCAAUGUGAACCGAAAUUAAAUCAACCAGAAAACGAUUACCUUCAACAAUUUAUCAUUUCUGUUAACCACUGGACAGUCCAUCUUCAAUUGAACCCUUUCAAAGUCAACACCGUUGGUCCAAUGAUUUUCACACUCAUUGUAUCUUUAAAUUAUGCUACAGAUAAUUUACAUUACCAUUGUGCAUGUAAAAAGUGGAUGUAAAAGUUUACACUAAAGUGAACAUAAACUACAAUUUGUUUCCAAGGAAACAAAAUAUCUGUGUGUAUAUUAAACAUACAUGUUAAUAUUGAGUAAAAAAUACUAAUAAUCAUAACAAUUGUAUUAUUAGAUGAAUUGUUUACUCUUCGAUAAUAACACAAUGCUCAAUUGAUUGAUAAUCUAAUAACAAGAUUAACUGUGAUGUCCGUUGAUGCUUUUUUCAAACCUUUUUCAAUAAUAAGCCAAUAAUAUAAACUGCCUUUUUAUACUGUCUUGAUUGUCAUCAGUUGAUUGUAUUAGAUGACUAAAUUAAAUAAAAACCCAAAAGGGUAAAAACAA